AUAUAUAAAAUCAUCAAGGAUAACCUAAUAAGAUUGUGAUUGUUAAU
rnacentral:guide_RNA from 1 species